AGGAUGCUGCAGUGAAUACCUGGCAACAGAUGCAUUUAUUGAGAAGGUUGACAAACUCUUUGAGAGUUUUAUAUGUUGAAAUGCCUGUUGACCCUGGAAAGCACUGUGUUGCCCACUAAGCGAUAAGAGUCCCAGUAUAGAGCACUGGUUAUCUGCUUCAGCAGGAUCAAUAUCAGGAUUCAGUGUGGAAUAGCUGUGAAGCUAUGUAGAAUGUUCAAAAGUUGGCUGGCCCUCAAAGGGCAGUUUGUUCCACUGAGAGUGUGCUGGCAGAAUUCGCUCCUUCGGCUGUUCAUCUGGCCUGUCUGGCCAGUGAUGUAGUACCGCAUGCACCGGUAGAAACAGCUGCCUCGGUCAGUUGCUGGAGUUGCAGCAGCUGCGUUAGUUGCGUGGUUGCAGGGCAUGGCCACAGGAGAGCUGCAUCAGUUACGUUAACUGUCUGGUACCCAUAAAGAGCUGAAGACUGUGAUGGCUGAUUGCUCUGAACUGAGUGUGAUCACUGACUAUUGCGAGUUCCCACAGUUGUUAGUCUGUCAGACCAGGAUGAAACAAAUCAAAAUUCUGCAAGAUAUUCUGUUGUUAUGUUUGCAAUUUAUUCUUGUCCAGAACUAAAGUGGAAGAUGAAUAUCAGAUUUCUAGCAUUCUGUAAGAUAUGUUGUAAUUUUGCCAAAUAAUGCUGUCCAGUACUGAACAUCAUUCUAAUGAAAUUAAUAAUAAAUGGAUACAUCAGUA